rnacentral:rRNA from 1 species
ACAACUCUAAGCGGUGGAUCACUCGGCUCGUGCGU